AGCUAAGUACCCAAUUGCUUCAGCAAACAUCGAACUCCUUCCAUUUGCCAAGCAUUUUUAGGCACUGAGGAUUCAAAGCACUCCUAUACACCUUUUCUAUGUGAGACUCUAGCACGAUUUUGAGGAUGAAAAGCUGCACCCUGUGUUAGGUGCUGGGACUUCUGCGGAGAAUAAGCCAGAGGAGGUUCUGACCCAGUGGACUCCGGGGUUGGUGGAGACCACAGGCCAGGUGCUUUCACAUGUCUUCUCAUUCAAUGCUUUCAUGAAGUCCCUGAGAUAGGACUCCUAUGCUCAUCUUCACAGCUGAUGAAAUUGAGGCUCAGAAAAGUUAAAAACUUGAGCCAGGAUUCAAACCCAAUGUCUUCCGAGUCCAACUCCCGUUCCACCUUCACCUCAGCCUCAUCUGGAUUACAAAUUCCCUGAAAGAAACGCAACCCCGAGCUGGCCUACAGUAUCCCUACAAGAACCUUGACUCUGCGGCACUGGCAGUGCGUCAAUGCCAGGGUGUUCAACACUUCACGUGACCCACAGCCACUUAGACAAAUGAGGCUUUACCUGAUCCUUUUCUCCCUCUAUUGUAAGACAAAGCAGGAAAUGAGAAAUGAAUUUAAAAUGAGCCAAGAUCUGCAAGAGGAAGAGAGAAAAACAUGAGACAGCCUCUCCUAUCAUUUCCAUCCCUGGAGGAGCCUUCCAAAUUCCCUGGAUAUCUUUGUAUAAUACUUUAUAUUUCAUGUAUUAGAUGAAAAAAAAAGUCUAUACAAAGGCCACUGGGAAGCUCUCAGCACCGCUAACUCCUAUCUAAUAACAACACUUGGGUGUUGGUCACUAUGCAUACUUAAACAGCAUUCAAUAAUCAUUUAUCUAGCACCUACCCUGUACCAGGCAUUGGGCUAAAUACUAGGGAGUCGAAAGGGAAUCAAUAGAUUCUCUAUCCUCAAUGCGCUCCUAGGCUUCUGGAGAAGCAGACAUGUAAACAAUUAAUCUCAAUGCAAUAUGAUAGAGAUUUGUACUUGUGCCAUGGGAACAGAGAAGAAGCAAGACUUAACUGUCAGACUGGAUGGGGAUGGGUGCCCCAAAGAAAGCUUCACCCUUAAAGGUAAGGUUCAGGCUAAGUCUGAAUAAAUGAAUAGGAGUUUGCCAUGCAGAGACAGAAGCAAGGCUGUGAGUAGGGAAAGAAAAUUUGGAGUAGAGGAGGACAGCUUGUACAAAGUCAAAGAGGUUGGGUAGAUACAAGAAAAGUAGAGGCUGUGGAAAUUACAGUCUUAUAAGUGGUCGUUAAACUCUAGUGGCUGAUGGGAAUAACUAACACAUGAAGAUGGGCCAUGUUGCUCUAUGUAAACCAUCCAUAAAUUGAGUUCCUGCCCUCUGGGAGCUUGGUGUCAAUUUUAGAUUAUAUCGUCAGGGCAGAAUGUGAUCCUUCCCGAACACUCUACUGCUUAAUCAUUCUCAGAAGAAAGGAGUAGCUUAGACUAUUUCUCCCCAGUGGAAGGCAGUAGCCUAAUCUUUUUUUCCUAGUUCUGGCAAUGCAUUUGCACUAGUGCACUCAUACCGCCUACUUCCUGCACCCCCCACCCUAUCCAUAUUCCUUGUAACCACCGGACUCAAACCUGGCUUACCUCCACUCUCAGAAUCAACCAAAGCUAAUUUAAAGCAAAAUGAAAGACAAGAGGGCACCAGGACAGCUGAACAAACAUUAACAAAUGUGUG